CCUACGGGAGGCAGCAGUGAGGAAUAUUGGUCAAUGGACGAAAGUCUGAACCAGCCAUGCCGCGUGCAGGAUGACGGCUCUAUGAGUUGUAAACUGUUUUUGUACGAGGGUAAACGACGAUACGUGUAUCGGGAUGAAAGUAUCGUACGAAUAAGGAUCGGCUAACUCCGUGCCAGCAGCCGCGGUAAUACGGAGGAUCCGAGCGUUAUCCGGAUUUACUGGGUUUAAGGGGUGCGUAGGCGGUUUGAUAAGUUAGAGGUGAAAUGUCGGGGCUCAACCCCGAAACUGCCUCUAAAACUGUUGGACUAGAGAAUAGUUGCGGUAGGCGGAAUGUAUGGUGUAGCGGUGAAAUGCGUAGAGAUCAUGCAGAACACCGAUUGCGAAGGCAGCUUACCAGACUAUAUCUGACGUUGAGGCACGAAAGCGUGGGUAGCAAACAGGAUUAGAUACCCCGGUAGUC
rnacentral:rRNA from 1 species